rnacentral:rRNA from 1 species
UGCGGUGAUAAUACGUGCAGGGAAACACCCGUUACCAUUCCGAACACGGUAGUGAAGUCUGCACGGCCGAUGGUAGUCGCGAGGCGAGAGUAGGUGAUUGCCGCAU